UGGGGAAUUUUGGACAAUGGGGGAAACCCGUGAUCCAGCCAUCCCGCGUGUGCGAUGAAGGCCUUCGGGUUGUAAAGCACUUUUGGCAGGAAAGAAACGUCGCGGGUUAAUACCCCGCGAAACUGACGGUACCUGCAGAAUAAGCACCGGCUAACUACGUGCCAGCAGCUGCGGUAAUACGUAGGGUGCAAGCGUUAAUCGGAAUUACUGGGCGUAAAGCGUGCGCAGGCGGUUCGGAAAGAAAGAUGUGAAAUCCCAGAGCUUAACUUUGGAACUGCAUUUUUAACUACCGGGCUAGAGUGUGUCAGAGGGAGGUGGAAUUCCGCGUGUAGCAGUGAAAUGCGUAGAUAUGCGGAGGAACACCGAUGGCGAAGGCAGCCUCCUGGGAUAACACUGACGCUCAUGCACGAAAGCGUGGGGAGCAAACAGGAUUAGAUACCCUGGUAGUCCACGCCCUAAACGAUGUCAACUAGCUGUUGGGGCCUUCGGGCCUUGGUAGCGCAGCUAACGCGUGAAGUUGACCGCCUGGGGAGUACGGUCGCAAGAUU
rnacentral:rRNA from 1 species